rnacentral:lncRNA from 1 species
CCCAGAGAGAACCAUCAGAGAUCAGUUGCCUGAGGGCAACAGUGUGAUUCAGUCAGAGAACCUUCUCUCCCUGAUGCAGCCUGAAGGAAUGACAAAUUAAAACAUUCGCUCAGGCAUCCAGUAACAAGGCCACGCACUACCUUCACGGAGUGCCAGGCACUUGUAGGGCACGACGGUGCCAUGGAACUACCUUCACUUCCGUUUCCUCCAACCGAAUGGAUCAGCCUCAGCUUCACGACGUGGGCAAUGGACAUGAUCCUGGCCUUCGCCUGUGGACUGGGCCUCUUCCACCUGUGGAUACAUUUCUUCCCACUCACCUCACCCUAACCUGCAGAGGGCGCCUCCACCACCACCAAAAGGGUGGUGAAGAGGGACCACAACAAGGCCAGGAAGAAAAUCAGGACCUUGAAAGCUUACAGAGGCUACAGCAGGAAGAGAGGGAAGGAUGACAGGGGCCUGCUUUCGCUUCCUGACUCCUCAAUCCCACGCCUGUGAGGAGAUCACUCGGGACAAAGGGCAAGGGCUGACCAUGGGACCAGGGGCCCUCUGGGAAGGUGGGGUGCGUGCACAGCGCUACUGUUUAAUUCAAGUGUGGAGCUGUGGCUGCAGGUGGCCUUUCCUGCUCAGCCUGUCCACCUCCUGCUGCCGAAUGCUCCAAGCUGCAACCUUAUGUCCUGUCUCCUGCAGCCUGCUUACUGACACCAUCAGCUUUUGCCAGCUCUUAAGAAGAGAUGCCUCGGCUCAAGGAUCCAGACCAGAAGCUGCCGAAGACCACCAGCC